UACGGAGGGGGCUAGCGUUGUUCGGAUUUACUGGGCGUAAAGGGCGCGUAGGCGGCAAUUCAAGUCAUCUGUGAAAUCUCCGGGCUUAACUCGGAACGGUCAGAUGAUACUGCUUUGCUAGAGUGCGGAAGGGGCAAUCGGAAUUCUCGGUGUAGCGGUGAAAUGCGUAGAUAUCAAGAGGAACACCUGAGGUGAAGACGGGUUGCUGGGCCGACACUGACGCUGAUGCGCGAAAGCCAGGGGAGCAAACGGG
rnacentral:rRNA from 1 species